rnacentral:tRNA from 1 species
GUCACUUUGGCCGAGUGGUUAAGGCGUUGGACUUGAAAUCCAAUGUACGUUGUACGCAUGGGUUCAAACCCCAUAGGUGACG